CAAAGGGGCUUGGUGGUCGGAAUCGACGUUUAGAUAUAUGGACAUAUUUCAUAUAUAAUCCAGCAGAAAACAAAACAGAAUGUGCUGUAAAGGGAGAUGGUGGCAAAUGUGGCCACAAAGUAGGUGGGAAGAAUAGGACCAACCUCAAGCGGCACCUGAAGGUUCACCACGCGGAUAUUUUUUCUAAGAUCCCAGAUCCCAGAGACCAAAACUCAAGAGAAACCUGGUGGUCCAAAGAACGUCAAGACACAGUCAUCUAUCCUAGCAGCCUUCACUGCAGGAUCCAAAUAUAAGUCAGACUCGGUGCAUGGAACAACGCGCCAAAGAACAGGAGAUCGCUCUUUGGAUUGGACGUACUGGUCUACCUGCUCGCACAGUUGAGGAUGAAGAUUUCAUCCUCAUGAUGGAGACCUUUGAUAAGAGACUGACCAUACCCAAAAGAACAAAAAUAAACAACUUAGUUGACAAGAUUUAUGAUGACGAAAAACAAAAGUACAAAGAGAGGCUUGCCGCAACACGCAAAAUAACAAUUGGGCUGGACAUAUGGACCAAAAAGGGACUUACGGCAUCAUUUCUGGGAAUUAGUGCAUGCUUUUUUUGCACUGUGGAAAACAAAGCACAGCAGAUAUUGUUGAGACUUGACCAGAUCGCCCACCCACAUACUGCAGAGUGUAUAAAAAACAGUGUUGACCAAUGCACAGAGGACUGGGGAAUACCGCAACACAAAAUUCUGACAGUCAUAACUGAUAACGGAAGCAACAUGAUUGCAGCAUUCAAACAUAAUGAACUGGAUGAAUCCACCAGCUCCGAGGAGGAUGAAUCCUCUGAGACAAGUGACACUGAAGACUCUGUGGGGGUUGAAGACCAAAGGUUUGGAGUCAUAGAUAGGACCCCCUGUGUUGUACACACGCUGCAACUCGUGGUGAACAUGAUCCAGAAAGAUGAAAGUGUCAACCGACUGCUAGGCAAAGUUAGAGCGCUUGUCAAGCUCUUCCGCAAGUCAUCGGUGGCAACUGAGCGACUGCUGAAGCUGUGUCAACUAACUAUGGUCAAAGACUGCCCCACUAGAUGGUCCAGCACAUAUCUGAUGAUAUCACGGCUUCUUCAAAUCAAGGACUCAGUAGUUCAAGUUGCGGAUGGGAUGAGCUGGGACUAUCUACUGCCAAGUGAGUGGCAGAGGCUGACUGCUCUAAGAGAUUUGCUCCAGAGCGACACACAGUCUUUAUCCCUUGUUGUGCCUGCCCUUCUGGACCUGCAAGGUCAUCUGUCUGAGUUCCCCCAUGCCCAGGGUUCUAGCUUCAAGGACCUAGCUUCCCUGGCAACGAAGAUGAAGGUAAAGAUGGACAAGCGGUUCAGCUGCUUUCUUGACGACACUGACUCCAAGUUUUCACCCCUCUCUCCUGCUGCAUGCUUCCUCGACCCGACAGUUUCCCCUGAAGCACUCCUUGAAAAUGAUGACGAGUGAAUUCAGGCGCUUCUGGGAAAAGCAGAAGAUUACAUUGCUCAUUUGGUGCCACCAGUUGUACGGGAGGAGGAGGCUGAAGAUGAGGAGCCAGAGGAGGGAGAAAGAGAAUCUAAAGAAGGACCAGAGAGAAAGCGGACCAGAUUCAAAUUCUUGUCAAAAGCAAGCCGGCCAUCCAGGUCUAGCUGCUCAAAGCCAUGUGUCAAGGAGGAAAUAAAGAAAUUCAAGGAGCAGCUGUCACAGCCUACAAAUGAAGAGACUACCCUUGAAUUUUGGGCUACACAGGGAGAUUCUGUUUACCCAAGCCUCAAACCUAUCGCCAUGGAUCUUCUGACCAUGCCAGCAUCUCAAGCAUUUGCUGAGAGUCUUUAGCGUUACAGGUGACCUCAGUCGUGGCCGUCGGAAUAGAGCAAGAGCCAUUUUAGAGAGAGGCGCUUUCCUCAAACUGAAUCGAGGUCAAUAGGUUAAUUUUGCUAACAGCAAGCUGUUACUAUUAUUAGUACAGAUACAGAUAGUGAUUAUUAUACUCAGUUUGUUCUUGUUGUGAGACAACCCCCCCUCUAAUUCAUGUUGUUAAACGUUGUUGUUGUUGUUGUUGUUUGUAUAUUGAAUUUGCUUUAAGACCCAAUACAGUAUGGGUUGUCUUGUUUAUUUUGUUCCAAAAACUUCAAGUGUCAUGUUUGUUUCAUACUUCAUCAAGUAUGUAUAACUUGCAACCUACCUCACUGUACCUCAGGGAUUUUUAUUUAUUUAAUUACUUUGUUUCAUAAUGUUUGCACAAGUUAAAGGGGUUGUAUGAUGUCUGUUCUUACAAAUAAUAUGCAUCUUAAUUGCACUGGCAGACAAGGUCAGGUUAAGCAUAUGUGUUCCUCAUCAAUCGUUCAUA